UUUCAACUUCCACUUGGACGAAUUUCAACUUCCACUUGGACGAAUUUCAACUCGACUUCGACGAAUUUCCACUCGACAUCGACGAAUUUCAACUCGACAUCGACGAAUUUGUACUCGACUUUGACGAUUUUGUACUCGACUUUGACGAUUUUUUUCUCAACUUCGACGAAUUUGGAUUGAAACUGAUAUUUGGACAUAUGGAAAUGAUAUUUGCGUGAUGGAAAUGAUAUGUACAUGUUCAUAAUUUUGUCCCCUUUGGGCAAGCAUAAAAAUAUACGUAUAAGUAUAAAUAGUACGACGUACAACUUGUCCUUAAACAUAAAAUGUUAAAAAACCAACCUUAAAUGGCAGUUUAAAGGUUUAUUCGGGCAAAAUUGUUUUUAUAAAUGUUGUAAAGAACAAAUUGUUUUUCGGCAACUAAAAUUUGUAUUUGUCUGUCAAAAAGCAUUUUCAAGCAUGUCCAUGCUGCAAAACGAAUCGGAAAAUAAAUAUUUUGCUAAAAAGCAUCUAUUGCAAUGAAACUAUAACAGCUUUUUAUCCAGCUUUUAUCGCGUCGUUUUAGCAGUUUGUCAGCCAUGCUUGCACUAUAUUAAAAGUAACAAACGCAACUGAUCUCAAAUGUACUUCGCAACUGGAAUUUUAUCGGAAUUUCAUUAUAACCAUCAACCAUUAAAUAAAAAAAUAAACACGUUAUUUACCGUUUAGGUCGGUCCGUACUAAAAAAAUAUUUUCCCUCGGCUUCAGAAGCGUCCCUCGGCCUUCGGCCUCGGGCCGCUUCUGAGACCUCGGGAAAAUAUUUUUUCAGUACGGACCUCCCAGCCGGUAAUCCACUAGGCAUCUUUAUUAAUAAGUAGUUUCGUACCACAAAAUGUGGCACUCUUCAGAUAAAUUGACCUAAAUAGGUCAAUUUAGGUCAAUUUAGGUCAAUUUAGGUCAAUUUAUCUGAAGAGUGCCACAUUUUGUGGUACGAAACUAUUUAGUAAUAAAGAUGCCAGAUGGAUUUUGUUGAUUGUUGUACCUUAAUUUAAAUAUGCUCUGGUUUUCCAUUGAGCACUUUACCAAAAGUUUUUAUAACCAAC